AUUGAACGCUGGCGGCAGGCCUAACACAUGCAAGUCGAGCGGAUGAGUGGAGCCUGCUCCAUGAUUCAGCGGCGGACGGGUGAGUAAUGCCUAGGAAUCUGCCUGGUAGUGGGGGACAACGUUUCGAAAGGAACGCUAAUACCGCAUACGUCCUACGGGAGAAAGUGGGGGAUCUUCGGACCUCACGCUAUCAGAUGAGCCUAGGUCGGAUUAGCUAGUUGGUGAGGUAAAGGCUCACCAAGGCGACGAUCCGUAACUGGUCUGAGAGGAUGAUCCGUCACACUGGAACUGAGACACGGUCCAGACUCCUACGGGAGUCAGCAGUGGGGAAUAUUGGACAAUGGGCGAAAGCCUGAUCCAGCCAAGCCGCGUGUGUGAAGAAGGUCUUCGGAUUGUAAAGCACUUUAAGUUGGGAGGAAGGGCAGUAAGUUAAUACCUUGCUGUUUUGACGUUACCGACAGAAUAAGCACCGGCUAACUCUGUGCCAGCCGCCGCAGUAAGAC
rnacentral:rRNA from 1 species